rnacentral:rRNA from 1 species
UAUCUCUGUAGAGUCUGCAUAUCAAUAAGCGGAGGAAAAGAAACUAACUAGGAUUCCCUUAGUAACGGCGAGUGAAGCGGGAAGAGCUCAAAUUUGAAAUCUUCAAGGUUUUACCUUGACGAAUUGUAGUUUAAAGAAGUGUUUUCUGUUGGUGUUUUGGUAAAAGUUCUUUGGAAUAGGACAUCAUAGAGGGUGAGAAUCCCGUAUUUGACCAUUACUUUCCAGCGUUGUGAUACACUUUCAAAGAGUCGGAUUGUUUGGGAAUGCAGUCCAAAAUGGGUGGUAAAUUUCAUCUAAAGCUAAAUAUUGGCGAGAGACCGAUAGCGAACAAGUACCGUGAGGGAAAGAUGAAAAGAACUUUGAAAAGAGAGUUAAACAGUACGUGAAAUUGUCAAAAGGGAAGCGUUUGACACCAGUGUUGUUUUCUCGAAAAUCAAUUAAAAAAGGCAGGAUUUUGUGUUGUAUUGACUUUAUCAGCUUUCUGCACUCUUUUCUUGUCUUUUUUAAUGCACUUUUCGUUUAACAAGUCAACAUCAAUUUCUUUUGUUGUAAAAGGGUCAUUGGAAGGUGGCUUUCUUUUCGGAGAAAGUGUUUAUAGCCUUUGGCCUCUGCAAUCGGAGAGAUUGAGGUCUGCAGCGUAGAUCCUUCGGGGUUAGAUACAUUUGUGCUAAGUUAUAGCCUUUCAUAGACAACUUGUUGACUAUGAUCAGUCAUGUAGCUUACUCGCUUAUGCUAUUUUACCUACGCUUAGGAUGUUGACGAUCAGCUGAGCGCG